UAAUUUGCCUAGACUAAAAUUGAUCCAGAUCCAAGGAAGGUCACUGUGAGAGACGUCAAUCCCUUUGGAGUAUGCUCAAAAUCCACCAGGCCACAUUCUCCAGCCAGUCUCCAGCUUCCUAGCCUCAGAAGUUGCUCCCAAUUCCUCAGCCACUAAGUUUGUCUGUUGCUGGAAGAUCACCUGCCUCUGCUUCAGCAAACCCUCAGCAAACUCCUAAAGAUGCAAAGGCUUGGACGCAUGAAGCGACCUUGCUUCUAAUUAGUCUCGUAAAGGAAGUGACUGAAGACUUCCAGUCUCCCAUUUUAAAGAAAAUGGAAGUGUGGAGGAAGGCAGCUGCUGGAAUGCUGGUCAAAGACACAAAACUAUACUGGACAACAAAAUGAAGACUGGGAGUGGUGCCAGAAGCUGGGUCUUUUUCUCUCCAAUGGAGGACCUCCUGGCUGAUGAUCCCAGUGUGGAUCCAGUCCACAUUGUAUCCUCAUUUGCCGGUGAUCUUUCCCAUAUCAUUUGAUAUGUUAUAUUAAGUAGCACAACAGCACACAUCUACAUGGAUUUCUAAGAUACUUUUGAUAUUAAUUGUGAGGUUUUUAUUUAAUAAUUCAUUGGUCAUAAUCACCCACAGUCAUAAUCAACCAUGUUGUAUAAAAGGUAGCAGUUAGUGUUAACUUUUUAUUAAAGAUGGCUUGUGUCUCUGGUAGGGGAGACCA